rnacentral:lncRNA from 1 species
GCACGAGCUAAAUAUAGUUAGUACAAGUUUAGCUUUUGAGUGCGGAACUUUGCAGUGCAAUUGGAGAUAGAAACCUCGUGUUAUAUACAUCUAGCUACAAAUCUGUUCACAUACUAACAUGCUGGCAUUAUCUGCUGUGAUUUUGUUCAUUUCAUCCACCUUCUUGGCAUCUGUAGAGGCUUCACCCAUACCAGGCCCUGAAUGCAAAGAACCAAACAUCUUACUCCACAACUCGGUCGCCUUCGGGACAGCUAGUGGUGAAGCCGCUGCAGGCAAUGAUGGCGACGGUGAUGACGACGAAGAUUACAAUGACGGGCAUUUAUCAGUUGAAGAUAGAGCCAUAUGCCCUUGGAAAAUAGUUAAGGUUAUAGAUGACAGUCGCUACCCUCGCAUCUUAAAGACAGUCCAUUGCAGAACAAACACAUGGGACAAUGGCACAUGUGUUCCAGUCAUACACAAUUUCACAGUGCUCUAUCGUACAGACAAGUGUAUGAAGUUGUCUGAAACAAAUGAAACUGAAGUGCUAUAUGCUUACAGGCCAGACACCCUUCAACUAGCAGUUGCCUGCACAUCUGUACUUAAUACUUCCACUGUUGACCAGGGCAAUAGUAGUGUUCACAAUAAACUAAUAUCCUCACCUUAAGAGUGAUUCACCAUUUCUUCUGGAUCUGUGUUGGUUGAGAAUGGAAAUACCAGUCCGUUUUUGUGUGUGCAUAUGUAUAUUAAUCAGAGUGUGCAAUAUUAUGUAUCCAUUACGGCCAAUCUUACCAGUCAGUUUUGCACUAGGUGUUCAACAGAGUCUUUGAUAACAGCCUGAUUAUGUAACCCUGCACUCUUCAGAGAUGGCAGUUACAGAAUGAGAUAUGGGCGUAUCUCAUUCCGUAAUAUAUAAAACUGUACACUUCGAUUAAUAUAUCCUCUAUAUUGAUAAA